GAGGGAAAGGUGAAAAGCACCCCGGAAGGGGAGUGAAAUAGAUCCUGAAACCGUGUGCUUACAAGAAGUCAGAGCCCAAUCUAUGGGUGAUGGCGUGCCUUUUGUAGAAUGAACCGGCGAGUUACGUUCCCGUGCAAGGUUAAGGUGAAGAGCUGAAGCCGCAGCGAAAGCGAGUCUGAAUAGGGCGAAUGAGUACGUGGACGUAGACCCGAAACCGGGUGAUCUACCCCUGUCCAGGGUGAAGGUGCGGUAACACGCACUGGAGGCCCGAACCCACGCAUGUUGAAAAAUGCGGGGAUGAGGUGGGGGUAGCGGAGAAAUUCCAAUCGAACCCGGAGAUAGCUGGUUCUCCCCGAAAUAGCUUUAGGGCUAGCCUCGGAAAAAAGAAUCGUGGAGGUAGAGCACUGAUUGGGUGCGGGGCCCGCAAGGGUUACCAAGCUCAGUCAAACUCCGAAUGCCAUAGAUUUAGUUCCGGGAGUCAGACAGUGAGUGCUAAGAUCCAUUGUCGAAAGGGAAACAGCCCAGACCAUCAGCUAAGGUCCCCAAGUGUGUGUUAAGUGGGAAAGGAUGUGGAGUUGCACAGACAACCAGGAUGUUGGCUUAGAAGCAGCCACCAUUGAAAGAGUGCGUAAUAGCUCACUGGUCGAGUGACUCUGCGCCGAAAAUGUAACGGGGCUAAACACACCACCGAAGCUAUGGCUUGAUGCUU
rnacentral:rRNA from 1 species